rnacentral:rRNA from 1 species
AAUCAACGCUGGCGGCGUGCCUCAGACAUGCAAGUCGAACGAUUAAACUUCCCUUCGGGGCCGAUAUAAAGUGGCGCACGGGUGAGUAACACGUAGGUAAUGUACCUUUGGGUGGGGAAUAACUUAGGGAAACUUAAGCUAAUACCGCAUAAUGCAGCGGCUCCUUCGGGAGACAGUUGUUAAAGAUUUAUCGCCUAAAGAGCAGCCUGCGGCAGAUUAGCUAGUUGGUAAGGUAACGGCUUACCAAGGCUACGAUCUGUAUCCGACCUGAGAGGGUGGUCGGACACACUGACACUGAAUAACGGGUCAGACUCCUACGGGAGGCAGCAGUCGGGAAUUUUGGGCAAUGGGCGAAAGCCUGACCCAGCAACGCCGCGUGAAGGAUGAAGUCUUUCGGGAUGUAAACUUCGUAAGAAUAGGAAGAAUAAAUGACGGUACUAUUUGUAAGGUCCGGCUAACUACGUG